GAUGAAGAACGCAGCGAAAUGCGAUAAGUAAUGUGAAUUGCAGAAUUCAGUGAAUCAUCGAAUCUUUGAACGCACAUUGCGCCCCUUGGUAUUCCGAGGGGCAUGCCUGUUCGAGCGUCAUUAUAACCCCUCAAGCUCAGCCUGGUGUUGGGGCCUGCCGCACGGGCAGCCCUUAAAAUCAGUGGCGGUGCCAUCUGGCUCUAAGCGUAGUAAUUCUUCUCGCUAUAGAGUCCCGGUGGAUGCUUGCCAUUAACCCCCAAUUUUCUAUGGUUGACCUCGGAUCAGGUAGGGAUACCCGCUGAACUUAAGCAUAUCAAUAAGCGGAGGA
rnacentral:misc_RNA from 1 species